rnacentral:misc_RNA from 1 species
GAUUAAAUCGAGAGCGUCUUCAUUGACCUCUCACCCUUCACAUCCACAUACACCUGUGCACCGUUUGGCUCUUUUAAAAGGAUUGUAAAAAGUCCUGCAAAGAGAGUCAUCAAUUUUAUACAUACCCCAGUCUUAUGAAUGUAACAGUUUUAAUAAACAAAAUAAAACUUUUAACAACGUAUCUCUUGGUUCU